CGCUAACUACUUGGAGGAUUAAAGAAUAUUCUGUUUUGUAUUAUUACGAUUUGCAUUCCACGAUAAAUGAGUCAGUAUACUGAUAUUAAAUAAGAGACAUACAUACAUGAUUUAUUGAUAAGGAGAGAAGUACGCCAGUAUUAUUAAUCAUUUUAUUGGUGAUUGGCUCUUUAUCCCUUAUUUUAUUUAAUACUCUGCAGUCUUCCACGCUAAUAUUUGAUAAAAAGCGUUAUGUUUGCUAAUUUAUUGAAUUGAGCUUAUAGUUAUGUUAUUGAUUAUAUUUUUUCCUAUCUAUGGUUCAAUUCAUACUUUAUCUCAUACUAUAUAACAUUUUUUGUGUAUUAUUUUACAUUAUUGGUCUCUGAGAAUAAAAUGUGAUUUAAUAUUAUUUGUUAAUUUAACGAAGUACCACAUAUUUUCACACUUCUGUCUUUCUUUCUAUAUUGUUAUUUGAGCUGAAGGUUAUUUUAUUUGACCUUUUUACAAUCUCAUGCGGUUAAUUUCUCUAUAAAGAUUUCAUCAAAUAUAUUAUUCUCCGUUACAUUCUUUAGAAGUAAACAUAUUUAUCCUUGAGAUGAUGUUUGCUCAUGCUUCGAGUGUCAUUAUUAAAGGCAUACACAUGAUGUGAGUGUGAUAAUCUAAUGUAAUAUAAUUUUUGAUAUUUAAUGUCUUUUGUGCUCGGUUUAAAUUGUUGCUAUCAUUUUUAGUUGUUGCCUUAUUGAUCUUGAUUUCUCUUUAUGGAUUGCAAUAGAUUUUUAGUAUAUAAGGUAUCUAUUAUAUUAAGUUAUUCAGUUUAUAAUUUUUUGCUAGUCACUUUGUAUUCUGCUCUGCUCUGUAUAUUACAGAUUAAUUUUCUUUCCUUCUGAGCUUAUUAUACUCUCUCGUUGAGAAGUUAUAAUUAAGGACUUCCCUGAGCAAACUUAUUGUUGAUACCAUACCAGUUUCUUUUAAUCUUUUAUGCCUUUGCAUUUACAAUAUUAAAAUUAAAAGUUAAUUAAUCAUUAAUCUAAAAAGGUGUUGUAUUUGCUUAUAAGUAAUUGUUUUCUUCUUAAUUUCAUAUACUUUAUUUUAAUUAAUAUUAAACAAAUCCAAUCUUUAUCUUAAAUCUAUUCUUGGAUAAACAGAUCUGCCCCUCUUCUACAUAUCUAGUAUAAACCUCUUUUAGUUCCUGAAUCACAUGUAUCUAUUCAAAAUAACUCGGGCAGAGUUACAUCUCCCCCCCCCCCACUUUCGACAAAUCCUGAUCAGAUCCCUUCGGGACAUUAUCAGCUUAUUUCUGGAUUACAUGUACCUAUUCAAGAUAACUCGGGAGAGAUAAAUUACCCCUCCCCCCCCACCUCGACAAACCCUGAUCAGAUACCUUCGGGACAGAAGGCUGUCGGUUCGUCGGCGAUUCAUAGACUGUCAGAGAAAAAAUCAAUACACCUCAUGUCACCAGUCUUCUUCUGUAGUGUAUCUGGAGGGCAUUAGUGAGAAUGGUAGUUCCAAUCUUGGAAAUCUCCACCCCAUGAGGCUUGCAAAAACAUUGUGCUUAAAAUUCAAGCAUAUUUAUAGUAUUAAAAAACUUGGUGAAAAUAUAAUUAAAAUAAAUUUUGAUUCCCUGUUGGAGGCUAAUAAUAGUAUGGUUGACUCUACACCUUUUUAGUGAUUCAGUAGCCUAUAUCCCACAGAUUAUUGCAUUUAUAGAAUUGGCGUUGUCCGUGACGUUUGAUUCUGCUGUUAACCUUUUUAAUGAUUCAAUAGCCUAUAUCCCAGAUUACGCACUUAUAGAAUCGGCGUUGUCCGUAACGUGAAUACUUCUCUGUCCAUUCAAGACAUUUUUGAUGGAUUUACUUGGUCUAGAGAACCUAUUAAAAUCCAUAAAAUCGAUCGGAAGAUUUAAUUAGAACCAGAAACCCGUUAAAUCCUGACUCUUUUAUUGAUACCCUCUCAAUUAAGAUAUGAUUUGAGGCUCCGCUUUUACUUGAAUAUGUCAUAUAGAGGGUCAGAUGCCCUAUUACUCCGUUUGUUAAUAGAGUGAGAAAGUGUCUCAACUGCUCCAGGUGUGGUCACUCGACAUUAUCGUACAGAGGGGUUACCACCUGCAGCAGAUGUAAUGAACCAUACAAAUUUGAAAAUUGUUAUAGUAUAACAGUUAAAUACACUAACUGCAAGGAAAAUCACCAUGUCUUUAACAUUAAUUGUCCUAUAUUUAUUAUUUUUAAAUUAUUAACAUUAUUAUGGCAUUUUGCAAUACGGAUAAAUGGCAGGCAACUAAAUCAAUGAAAUCGAAAAUCAAUGAAUCUCCUCGACCCAAAUAGCUCAAAACACUUUUAAAUCCGCUGCUUUUAAGGAAUGGUUUUUUGAUGGGUCCAGUUAUUACUUACAGCAACAGAAAUCUAAUAUUCUUCCUAGAAACUUUAUUAACAAUACUAAAAGAAAAA
rnacentral:lncRNA from 1 species